CCGCGGUCCCCAGCGCCUGGCUCCGGGGAGAGGCCGGGGCUCCGGGAGCCCAGCGCGGUCCAGGGGCCCCCCACGGAAGGGCUAGCGGGCAGCCUCACCGCGAAAGCUCAGGAGUGUUGGACUUUGAGUCAGUUCCCCGCCGCGGGAAGGGUCUGCACGCGCACACCAGCGAUGCUGCACGCUUUGGGAGCCGGGACCCAGCGCUCCCGGCCCGCGCCCGCCCCGGCGCACUCCUGUGCGGCCCGCGCCACCCAGCGCCGCGUGACCGCCCAUUCCUCCCGGGACCCCCAUAGCUCCGGCCACACCUACCCCAGCCCCGCCCCGCGGUGCAACUCCGCGGUGGCCUGCGGGUGGGCGGGCAGCAGUCGCGUCGCCCCCACCCCGCGCAGCCUUCACCUUGCCGGCAUUGGCUCACCCACACGGGGCCCGGGGUUUGGAGCGGAUUUGUUUUUUUAAACAUUUUCCAGCAGACCACAUCCCCGCCCCCCGCUGGCGGUCCCCCGCCCCCCGCACAUAUACCCUGCACACACGCACGCACACACACACACACACCCGGCGCGCACAGACACACGCUCCCUCCCUCCGCGCUCUACCCCUCGCCCGCCCGCCGCGCACGCAGCCGGCCCCGGCUCCCCGCGCCCCGCGCCCGGCGCCCCGCGCCCGGCCACCGCCGCAGCCGCCGAGCAAAGCCGGGCUGGGCUUGGAGCUGCUCAUGGAGAAAGUGCCGGGGGAGAUGGAGAUCGAGCGCAGGGAGCGGAGCGAGGAGCUGUCCGAGGCGGAGAGGAAGGCGGUGCAGGCUACGUGGGCCCGGCUGUAUGCCAACUGCGAGGACGUGGGGGUGGCCAUCCUGGUGAGGUUCUUUGUGAACUUCCCCUCGGCCAAGCAGUACUUCAGCCAGUUCAAGCACAUGGAGGAUCCCCUGGAGAUGGAGCGGAGCCCCCAGCUGCGGAAGCAUGCCUGCCGGGUCAUGGGGGCCCUCAACACUGUGGUGGAGAACCUGCAUGACCCCGACAAGGUGUCCUCUGUGCUUGCCCUAGUGGGGAAGGCCCACGCCCUCAAACACAAGGUGGAGCCGGUGUACUUUAAGAUCCUCUCUGGGGUCAUUCUGGAGGUGAUCGCCGAGGAAUUUGCCAAUGACUUCCCACCUGAGACGCAGAGAGCCUGGGCCAAGCUGCGUGGCCUCAUCUACAGCCACGUGACCGCUGCCUACAAGGAAGUGGGCUGGGUGCAGCAGGUCCCCAACGCCACCACGCGCAGCUCCUGGAGAAGGUCCCCUGAGGGCAGCUGGGGACGUCAGGCCUCCUGCCCUUCCUGCUGCUGACCACACUGGCCCGGGGCUGGCUCCUGCACCCCUCCCCCUUCUCCCGUCAGCAGCACCCCAAGAGAAUGGAGUCCUCGGGAACUGCUGGCCACAGCCGAGCCAACUCCAGAUGUGCACAGCUGGGCCCUGGCCUGCCUGAAACCCGGAGUCAAUGGGAAACAAGCAGAUGUUGGCCCACCAGAGGAGGGCACUGGCAGAGAGUGGAGAGCUGGGGUUGCCCCCUCGCCCCCCACCAGCUGUCACUCAGAGGGUCCAGGGAAGAGACAGGGGAAAAGGGGGAGAGGCGACGGGGUUUGCCCUCCCACCCCUCUCCCCAGGCAGGCUCUGCUGCCAAAGAUGAGCUUGUUUACAGCCAGGACACAAGACUUCCUGCUUCCAGAGAAACGGGCUUUUUUACAAGGGCUAAGAGGGACUGGAAAGAGAGCUGGCUGGGCGAGAGCCCCAGUGAAUCAGAAACACAUGGCCCGGCUCCCCACACGCUGCCCACCCUGCCCUCCCCACCCUGCCCCGGGACCUCCAUCUCCAAACCCCACACAUUAGGAAAGUGCCGAAGUCUCCUCCUUCUCCCUCUUCUGCUCCUUGUGGACUAAAUGGAGAUGGGCUACCGUGGACACUGGCACCCCACGGGGCUUAGCGCCCAGCAGUCAAGUGCUGGGGUUGUCCCCUCACCCCUUUACAUCCUCUAGCCCACUCCUAGGGCCCCUGGCCUGGGCCUGUAGAGCCUCCCUGCUGCCAGGGUCCCCAUGGGCUUGAGGGCAGGACAGAGUUACAGGGCAGAGUCCUAGAAGGCCCUUGCCCAACUUCUCUUAUCAGGAAGGCAGGAGUGGGCCAGGCGCCACUGUUUAUUGAGCCGUCUCUGCUUCAGGGUGUGUGCCUUUGCGUGGGCGGGCGGGGGUGUAUGCAUGAUUGCAGCGGGGGCUGCGUGAACCAAGAAUACGAGAAUACACGUGGUGGCCCCAGGAGGGACGAGAGAGGCCGGACAGAACUCGCCAUGCUUCAGAAUUAAUGGAAAAAGAGCUCACGUUGAGAAAAAGAUCCAGAGUUCCCAUGGGCCAGCAGACUUGCCUGAGAUCACAGCAGGUUCGGAGCAGGACACAGAAUGGAACUUGGCUCUCACGGUUGCUUUCAACCACACUGUGCUGGGUCUCCUGGCAGGAACCCACCGGCCACACUGCCCUCUUCGGGGCCGUAGGACCCCUCCCUCCACCCCCCUCCCUGGCAGCACCUUGAGCAGAAGGCCGAGUUCUGAAGACCCUCCUUGACAACCAAGGAAGCUGGAGGAAUCCCUGACUCGACUUCCCCGAAGGAGGCCUCUGCGGCGGCCACAGCCCCCCCGGAGCUGCUGGGAGGCAGCGCUGGCUGCCUGGAUGCUGACCCCAGCGUGGCGGGCGGGUGGGGGACCCUUCCUCCUCGCAGAGCGGGGCCCACUCUUAGCUUUUCUACUCACUGUUAGAGAGAGACCUAGCUGUGUGGCUGGCGGGGCUCAGGACAGGUCUAGGAGUCCCUUGGGGAAUAAACCAGCCCCGUUUCUAUCAGCCCAGCCGGCACACAAGUCUCCAUAUCACCAUCUAGAGUAUCACGCACACAUCUACCAUAUAUACAGAUAUAUUCUAUAUAUGAGCUAUAUAUAAAUAUAUAUAUACAUAUAUAUACACACGUACAUAUCUAGAAUGUGUAUCUGCGGGGCCCAGAAGCCUCGGUUCUGCCCACCUGUGAGUGGGGCAGGGAGGAGUUCCUGUUGCGCAGAGAACAGUGUUCUGGCAGAAAGGAAGUCCCACGGCGGCGCAGAGGACCUGGGCCUGGAGGGGCAGGGCUGGGGCAACCCGGCUUGGCAGCAAAGUCCAGCCCCUUCUCAGACCAGCUCCCCACAUUCCUGCAUUCCACUUCCAGGCAGAAAGGAAGGGGCUCCCCCCACUCCCCCAGAGGAACUGACUCACCAAUUGCCCGAGAAUGGGUUGGCGCAUUCUGGACGGGCUGACCGCACUGGGGGAGGGGCCUCAGUCCAGAAACUUGGACCGCCAGCUCCACCUGCCUUGGCCACCAGAGCAGCCCCAGGGGAUCCGGGCUGCUGGGCAGCAGGUCGGUGGGACCACAUCCCUGGGUCUCAUCCUCAGUUCUGAGGGCCGAGGGCCUUCCCCACCCCAUCCUCCUCCUGGCCAGUGGUCGGCCCUGUCUAUUUAUCUGUGUCAGCCUUGUCGGGGGAGGGGGACCCCCCCAAGUGUGCCCCUUGGUCACAUGUAUUGUCUUCAAGGAUGUUUUGCUGCUGUGGCUACUAUGCCUGUGUCCCCUCCUGUCCCAUCUUCAGGCUGUCAUCUGUGUAACUGCCUGUCUUCCUUUUCUAGUUUCUGAUGUUUGUAACCAGACCCAGCUGUGUCAUUAAACAGACCUGUUCUUGCUGUA